rnacentral:misc_RNA from 1 species
GCCUUGCUGUAAGCGCUGGACUCUCGAGUCAAGGAGUUGCGUUUCCCGUGUAAUUCCGUGAUUUAGUUGCUUUGCCCAGUAUUUGUGUAUGUUUCGUCCCGUGAGAAUCAAUUCAAGUGGAAUCUUCUAACUUCUGCUAUAAAUUUCGAACGUAAGUGCAUCCCGUGCGGCCAUCAGACCUGAAAACUUCGCCGAGAAAAUCGAACGCUACAGCCAAUCCCGCGACAAGGACACAGGUAGAAAUCGAAGCAAUUUGUUUUGCUUUUGGUGACGGAUUUAGUAAUGUGGUGUUCAUGUGUCUCCACAAAUAACACAGAACGAAUGGCGGCUAUCCGUAAGAAAUUGGUGAUUGUCGGAGAUGGUGCCUGCGGUAAAACGUGUCUUCUAAUUGUCUUCAGUAAGGAUCAAUUUCCGGAAGUCUACGUGCCGACAGUUUUCGAAAACUAUGUGGCUGAUAUCGAAGUCGAUGGCAAACAGGUGGAACUAGCGCUAUGGGAUACUGCCGGGCAGGAAGAUUACGACAGACUGCGACCUCUGAGUUACCCCGACACAGAUGUCAUCCUGAUGUGUUUCUCAGUUGAUUCGCCCGAUUCUUUAGAAAACAUACCAGAAAAAUGGACACCAGAAGUGAAACACUUCUGUCCAAAUGUACCCAUCAUUUUAGUCGGUAACAAAAAAGAUUUAAGAAACGAUCCAAAUACGAUACGGGAAUUGUCCAAAAUGAAACAAGAGCCUGUUAAGCCACAAGAAGGUCGUGCAAUGGCCGAGAAAAUUAACGCUUUCGCUUAUUUGGAAUGUUCGGCCAAAUCAAAAGAAGGUGUUCGAGAUGUGUUCGAAACGGCAACCCGUGCCGCUUUACAAGUUAAAAAGAAGAAGAAGGCCAGAUGUUCAUUGCUCUAAGGGAGAGUCAGAAAUAUAUGAAACAAUUUUAUUAAAAAAGUAUACAUAAAAAACAAAAAUUUAUAAAAACAUUCAAAAAAAUAUUGGCAUCAUUGGGAAAUAAAAGCUACACAAAAAGUUAUAAAAUCAACUUGAGAAGAAAAUUGCAAAAAAACUGAUAGAGGGAAGCAAUUGUAUUACGUGAUGAAUAAUGAAUAACAGUAAAGAAACAUGCGCAACAUAUACUACAGGCCACACACAGAAAAAAAUCCGAACCUCUCUUACAAUAACACCGGAAAUAGCCACUCCAACAACAUCCAAGAAAUCCGACGAGGACUUUUUCAGAGCUACAACCACUACAACUUGAGCAACUAGAGGGCAACCAGAGCCACUUCAGCAAUUUAAUGAUAUAAAGAAGAUAUCGAUUGCUUGCUCCAAGUUUUUCUUAACAAACAAAUCACCUUCAAAGACACAUGCAAACGUUUGCUAUCAAAAUAAAAAUAUGGAAACGUAAUAAAAAUAAAAGAACAACUAACAAUUUGAAUCCAAGUCGUAUAUUCAGAUUCCCUAUGAAUGCAAAGUAUUUUUCUUCCAUUGUUGUAUACAUGCAAAACACUUUUUCUGUUAAAAGAAUUUAAAUGGAGAAACUAUCAAUGAACUUUUAAAUAAUUCACUAACUCUUUAUAAUACAUAGAAUUCAACAAACAAUACAACAACUAAUACAUAUUUUUCUGCUUCAUAUGAAAUUAUCCAAUCCAUUUACAUAAUAAAAAUGAAAGGGACAAGAUACAUCGUGGCGAGAAAAAAUAUCGAUAAUCUUAAGUAUAAUGUCUUCUUUUAUUUUCGCGUGUUUCAAUGUACAAUGCAGAAAAUAGAUGUAAUUUUCUGUUUUCUGUUCGGAAUCACAAAAAAGUAAAAAAAAUAUGUACACAUUCUGCAAAUUGUAUUGCAUUCUGCAUCAAUGCGCGUAUUUGUAAUAUUUGAACUAGAAAGUUGUUUUUUUUUGUGUUUUCUUUUUUAUAUUCAUAUAUAUGUAUCGAUUACUAUUAUUAGAUUAUUUUAAUUUGUUUAAUAACUAUUUAAAAAAGUGCCUGAUUUGCAUAAGAACGAUAUAAUUAUAUAUCAUAACGCAGAGAGGAAGGAUAAAAUAAUUGUGAAGAGUAAGAAAAAAAGAGAAAUGCCAAUUUAUAUACAAAAUGUAGUAAAUUUAAUUCAAUUCUGAGAGCGAAGGGAAGCAUCAUGUAAGCAAACUAACAGGCAAAAUUCAAUUGAAACGAAUAUUUAAUUAGUCAUGUGAACAAUAUUAAUUAUAUAUGCAAUUUUUAUGGAAUUUUGAAUUCUGAUUGAUCUACUAUUGCUAUUAACAAUGUCAUAUAUAAGUAACUAUAGUUUUUUUUUAUUUUCUAAGAGUCUGUAAUAAAAUUUUAUAUGUGGUGAGAAACAAACUGUGUUUAGGAACAUUU